rnacentral:lncRNA from 1 species
CGACUCGCCCGAUAGCAUCUCGGGCGAUGCUCCGGAAGGUGGCCAACUCCACUUACCAACUCUUCAAGGCGGCUAACCAACUCAACUGAAAAUAGUAGCGAGAAGUUAUGGCACAGGUUAUUCUGAGCUAGAUUUCUUAAUCUGUCCGAGCAGUUUGGCAUAAGGCAUAAAAGUCUUACAUGCGAGCUACUAAUCUGAAUCCAUUUUCAAGUAAGAUGAAUAGAGCCCGGCUGCAAUUUUUGUUGCUUACUUGUCAGUUGCCACAACCAAAACCCUAAUUGUUAACCUCCUGUAAAUAUUGCUUUAGCCUCCUGUAAAUAUUACUUGAUGAAGCAGCAGAGCACCUGUCCAUUCGGCUAAAACAAAUCCUAAUUGGCAUAACUCAACGUCAAAUGAAGAAAGAAUAAAGUGAAUUGGCAGUACCAAAAAAAAGAAUAAAGUAAAAAAAUCCUAAAUUUGUUCUUUUGCCACUGCUUAAUUUGAUUCUAUUCUAUUUCCCAUACCUAUAGCUAUUGUUAUACAUAUCUUCCACCCAACUGAAAAAAAACCAGCCGUACCCUUUAGUUGUGACUAUUGUUACUUAUUUCUCUACUAGUCUCUACGUUUGGUAGACAAUGCAUCAGUUUCCUCCGGGCAGCAAAGUUCACGUGAGAUGGAUACUCAGUGCUGUUUAAAUAAACUAGAACUAAUAGUUAGAACAUAUUUGGUUCCUAUAUUCGCCUGACUAAACUUUGGUGGCUAAAGUUUAGUCACUAAAGUACUCUGUUUGGUUUCAGUGACUAAACCUGACUAAAAACAUUAAUUGACGUGAAUAAUGACUGCAUUACUCUUAUUAAUUAGUGAUGCCUGCUGCACUAAGAAAGAGGAGAGGGCAAAUGAGGUAAAAAUCCUACUUUAGUCCCUUUUAGUCACUAUCUUGGUGACUAAAGAAUUUAAGUUUAGUUACCCCACAAUAGUCACCAUAUUUGCUUCUUUAUGGACUAAAAAUGAUUAAAGUUUAGUCACUGCAAACCAAACCAAACCAAACGGGCCUUAGUUGGCAAAAAAUUACUAGUGUAAUUAGCUAGCUAACAAAUAGCUAGCUAACUAUUAGCUAAUUUGCUAAAAGUAGCUAAUAGCUAAACUAUUAGUUAAAUUAUUUGAAUGUUUUCAACUAAUUUUAAUAGUUAACUAUUAGCUCUAGUUCAUUCAAACACCUACAUAUAGCAUCAUUCUAAAAGAAUGUGAUACAAGGAUCCAUCUUUGUCAACAAGCUAUCUGGUGAAGUUUUUCAGAUACAACAUAACAUGUGGACACUAACAGAUCCAACUGAGAAAACAUUUAUGAAAAAAACUUGAACCACAAAUACGUUAAAGAUGAUCCAAUUCAUAUACAGGAAAGAUGCCUAGCCACCAGCAAGUGCAUCCAUCCAUGCACAUGAAAACCAGUCAUGGAAUAAACACCAACCCCAACUAGCAGCGACAGUUUUCAGAAUAUAAUACGGCACCGUCCACAGUAUGCGGAGCGGAGUGGAGCGGAGCGGAUAGAUCUGAUGGGAAAGGGGGAGGGAUUUGGCGCACCAGAAAGACGAUGCCGGCAGGGCCGUGUUGGUGCUGUGCUGGCAAACUGGCCGCGUUUCCCUUGGCGAAUGCAGCAGCUCUUACAGUAGCACAAUAUAGGAAGAAGAAGGCUUCAGCGGGCGCGGAGUCGUAUUCGC